rnacentral:rRNA from 1 species
UACAGAGGUCUCAAGCGUUGUUCGGAUUCAUUGGGCGUAAAGGGUGCGUAGGCGGCGCGGUGAGUCGGAUGUGAAAUCUCGGAGCUUAACUCCGAAACUGCAUUCGAUACUGCCGUGCUUGAGGACUGGAGAGGAGACUGGAAUUUACGGUGUAGCGGUGAAAUGCGUAGAUAUCGUAAGGAAGACCAGUGGCGAAGGCGGGUCUCUGGACAGUUCCUGACGCUGAGGCACGAAGGCCAGGGGAGCAAACGGG